AUUGAACGCUGGCGGCAUGCCUUACACAUGCAAGUCGAACGGUAGCGGGCCUUCGGGUGCCGACGAGUGGCGAACGGGUGAGUAAUGUAUCGGAACGUACCUUUCAGUGGGGGAUAACGUAGCGAAAGUUGCGCUAAUACCGCAUAUUCUGUGUGCAGGAAAGCAGGGGAUCGCAAGACCUUGCGCUGAUUGAGCGGCCGAUAUCAGAUUAGCUAGUUGGUGAGGUAAAGGCUCACCAAGGCGACGAUCUGUAGCGGGUCUGAGAGGAUGAUCCCCCACACUGGAACUGGGACACGGUCCAGACUCCUACGGGAGGCAGCAGUGGGGAAUUUUGGACAAUGGGGGCAACCCUGAUCCAGCCAUGCCGCGUGAGUGAAGAAGGCCUUCGGGUUGUAAAGCUCUUUCGGCCGGGAAGAAAUCGUAUCAGCUAAUACCUGGUGCGGAUGACGGUACCGGCAUAAGAAGCACCGGCUAGCUACGUGCCAGCCGCCGCCGUAAGAC
rnacentral:rRNA from 1 species